AGCGAACGCUGGCGGCAGGCUUAACACAUGCAAGUCGAGCGGGCACGUUCGGGUGUCAGCGGCUGACGGGGGAGUAACGCGGGGGAACGUGCCCUCGGGUUCGGAAUAACUCAGGGAAACAUGAGCUAAUACCUGAUACGCCCUCCUGGUGGAAGGCUUGCCGCCGGAGGGUCGGCUCGCGUCUGCUUAUCUAGUUGGUGAGGUAACGGCACACCAAGGCGACGAGCGGUAGCUGGUCUGAGAGGAUGCUCAGCCACACGGGGGCUGCGACACGGCCCCGUCUCCUACGCAGGGCAGCAGUGGGGAACAUUAGACGCUGGGCGCAAGCCUGAUCCCGCCAUGCCGCGUGAGUGAUCAUGGGCUUAGUGUUGUAAAGCUCUUUUAUCCGGGACGAUAAUGACGGUACCGGGUGAAUAAGCCCCGGCUAACUACGUG
rnacentral:rRNA from 1 species